GAGAGAGAAAGACAUGAGAGGACAUACUGUAUAUUUAGAUGAAUGAUUCAGAAACCAUUGGAAUAAAGGUUUAAAGAAUACCACGUUUUCUCAUUAUUGACUAUUUCCAAAGAGAACUUUCUCCAAACGCACUUUACCUGGUUCUGCAUGUCCUCUGAAUAAGAACAAAAACACUUGUUUUAUCAUCAAGCAUCUUUAAGUGGCUCUUAAAACUCCCCACACUUGUUUUGAUCAUUCUAGCAUGCAUUUACUCAAGAGUGUAUCAGUCUACUAAUGUUUGGAGCACAAGGGUGGCGAUUCGCAGACAGGUCCCUGUGUCCCGCCGCCUCCUCCUGUGAGACUCGCUGCAAAGGGACGAUUAAUGAGAUUACAGUGAGAGUGUGGUGCACGCUGUGAGCUGGCGAGCCAGUGACUGCCUACUGUGAGAUGAUGAAAGAGGAAAAGACAUGGAAACCUGCACCGCUUGCAAAAGGAAAUAAUGUUGUGUGAUAGAUGGUAAUAUCUAAUUAAACAACCCUGUUGCUGCACUCAUGUGUGCCAAUUUAAUGUCGAAUAGAACGGAAGAGAUUCAAAUAUUGUCAAAUUCAUCAUAUAAACUUUUGAAAAUAAAAUUGUUGUUUUGUUUUGUUUUGUUUUUCUUUGGCAUCUUUGGUGCCAUUUAUGGACCGUUUCUAUUCCACAAAAAGGUUCUUUAUAGUGUAAAAAAGGUUCUUUAGAAUAUUUAGAAUAUAAACUGUUUGCUGAAAAGUUAUUAGUGGAACCAUAAAUGCUUCUUUUAUGGCUUUUCCUGUGAAAAACACUUUUUGUAAUCUUGGCUUUUAAGAGUGUUGGAGAAAUAAAGAUGACUACAGUGAGUUUGAUAACUUAAGUGAGUUUGCCUACUACUUAAAGGCUAUAUUCUUGGGUUUAAGUGGAUAGUUCACACGUAGAUGAACAUUCUGUCAUCAUUUACUGAAAAAAAGAAGGGACACAAAAAGUCAUGAGCCAAGUUUCCUUUCAAAGUUGCAAAUUUAACUUGUGUGCAAAGUUGGAAUGUCCAGCCCAAUCUCAUGGCAAUUCGUACAUAUUUUAUGAGUUGGCUAAUUCAUAUGAAUUCGUAUAACCUCACUUGUACAAAUUUAAACAAUUUUUGAUAAAUCAUACAUAUUUUAGAGUUGCUCAAUUUGUACGAAUUACCUACUCCUAACCCUACCCCUAAACUAGACAAACCGUUCUAAAUCGUAAGGUCAUACGAUUUAGCCACCUCAUAAAAUACGUACAAACUGAUUGUGAGAUGAUGUUGGAAUAUUGCAUAAAACAUUUGCAAACAAGCAACGUUUCCAUCCAACGAGUCAAAGAGAACAAAAUCGUCACUUCCCCAAAAAAACUGCCACUAUACACUCUUAAAAAAAAGGGUUCCUCAAGGUUCUAUAUUGAACCCUUGGGUUCCGUACUUGGCCAAUAGAACCUUUUACCAAAAAAAUGGUUCUAUUUAGAACCCUUGCAUGCAAAGAACCCUUUUUUUUAUUAAAACGGUUCUAUUAUUAUAUUAUAUUAUAUAUGUUUUAUGACUGAAGUGUAAACUAAAGAUUACACUAUAAUUAUCCUUACUCAACACAUUCACAAAGCAUUUUGAGUCAAGACCCAUGAGAAUGACUGCUGUAGUCAAAAAGAUUAAUAUCUACUCAAUGUAUGAUUUGAGCUGUACAUUAGCAUGAAAAUUAUAUUACUUUACAUUAUAGUUUACCUUUUUGACGAAUCAAUUUGUGAAGAAAAACAAACUAACCAGGAGUUUUCUUUAUUUUGUUUACCAUAUUGUGAUUGUUUUAAUCUACCUAAGGGAACAUUAAAAAACAAAUAAUCAUAAAAAGACCCCCUCCCCGGUGGCAUAUAUGCGUUGCGUCAUCCUUGAAUUCCUAUUGGUCGAUGGGCGAAGAUGAAUCGCGAGAGGAGUCGAGGCAAGUGACAGUUAAUUUUUCAAACUGAGGAGUCCGCCAUUUCUGCUCGUUCAUACACUAAGAUAACCAUGGUUGAUAAAUGGUCAGUAGAUGACACGUGCCACUGGCUUGAAACUAUAAACCUCAUUGAUGCAAAAUAAAGUUUCAGAGAUUCUGCAUGAAAUGACAAUGAGGUUUGAACCGACUUGGCGAAGAACAUGGAAACAUCUCUGAAUGGAAUGGCCCCAAACAUCAUCAGGAGUGCAAAAGAAGGAAGUCAAAAAAAAAAACAAAAAAACUACGCCAAUCUCAUUGGACUAGCAGAGGAAACCACAGAAGGUCUCGUUAGGAAUGCUGCACUCAUUUUAUUGCCAGCACUAUUUAAAGAAAACGCCAGCUUCCUCUACUGUGUAGAUAGUGAACCCAAAGGUGCUACACCAACCAUAGUGUUUAACGGCUCUCCUGAUCCCCUCAAGGCUGAAAGUGUCAGCAUAAUAAUGGACAAUGUGAACAUCAUAAGAGAGGCAGACAUUGACAUGACACAGGCUGUGGAAUGCCUAUUUGCAGUCUAUUUUCUCUUCAAUGUGCAGUACCCGGUUGACAUUAAGCACACAAUGACUUUUAUUUAAAAAUAUAUGCUUAACCUUAGACAACAGCACGGCAAAAGAACACCAAUACCUGUACUGAAAAUGUAUAGUCAACUUGUGUAAAUUGUAGAGCUAUUUAAUAGUUGUUUUAACUGUUCAUGUAUUGAUUUUUAUCUGCACUGUUAAAUAUAAAAAAUGAUUUGUUUUUCCUCAUUUAAGAGAUAUAUGUAAAAGUGAAGUACUGUAUAUGUACGUAAACAAGCUUAUGUAUGUUCAUUGCAAAGUGAAAAUGCUUAAAUGAAAUAAUUCAAACUAAAUGGUUAAAUGUAAUUAAACAUCUUAAAUGUGAAAUUUGCUGUCUAACACAGAGUAUACAGAGGUGUAAUUUUAAAUGACACUAAAUUUUUUGUAUAAACAGUUGAAUAAAUUGAAACAUUUUAAA